rnacentral:tRNA from 1 species
AUUUAUAUAGUUUAAUAAAAACAUUACAUUUUCAUUGUAAAAUUAAAGUCAUCAUUUUUAUAAAUA